UGAGUAAAAUAAAAAGUUAUUGACAACUAUAGAUUAUAUGUUUUAAAUAUAAGGCAAAUUGACCGCUUGGAUCCACUUAAGUUGGACCGAGACGGAAGG
rfam:Deltaproteobacteria bacterium DG_8 WOR1_52_54_33509, whole genome shotgun sequence.